AUUGAACGCUGGCGGCAGGCCUAACACAUGCAAGUCGAACGAGUGGCGGACGGGUGAGUAAUGUCUGGGAAACUGCCUGAUGGAGGGGGCUAAGUCCUGGAACCGGUAGCUAAUACCGCAUACAAUCAGAUGUGCCCAGAUGGUAUUGGCUUGUUGGUGGGGUAACGGCUCACCAAGGCGACGAUCCCUAGCUGGUCUGAGAGGAGUACCAGCCACACUGGGACUGAGACACGGUCCAGACUCCUACGGGAGGCAGCAGUGGGGAAUAUUACACAAUGGGCGCAAGCCUGAUGCAGCCAUGCCGCGUGUAUGAAGAAGGCCUUCGGGUUGUAAAGUACUUUCAGCGGGGAGGCGUUACCCGCAGAAGAAGCACCGGCUAACUCCGUGCCAGCAGCCGCGGUAAUUC
rnacentral:rRNA from 1 species